rnacentral:rRNA from 1 species
YMGACCUGAGCUCAGGCAAGAUUACCCGCUGAACUUAAGCAUAUCAA